GACGAACGCUGGCGGCGUGCUUAACACAUGCAAGUCGAGCGGAAAGGCCCUUUCGGGGGUACUCGAGCGGCGAACGGGUGAGUAACAAGUGAGUAAUCUGCCCUGGACUCUGGGAUAGCCACCGGAAACGGUGAUUAAUACCGGAUAUGACACCUUGCUGCAUGGUGGGGUGUGGAAAGUUUUUUCGGUCCAGGAUGUGCUCGCGGCCUAUCAGCUUGUUGGUGAGGUAAUGGCUCACCAAGGCUUUGACGGGUAGCCGGCCUGAGAGGGUGACCGGUCACACUGGGACUGAGACACGGCCCAGACUCCUACGGGAGGCAGCAGUGGGGAAUAUUGGACAAUGGGCGGAAGCCUGAUCCAGCAACGCCGCGUGAGGGAUGACGGCCUUCGGGUUGUAAACCUCUUUCAGUACCGACGAAGCGUGAGUGACGGUAGGUACAGAAGAAGGACCGGCCAACUACGUGCCAGCAGCCGCAGUAAAAC
rnacentral:rRNA from 1 species